CUUACCUGGUCUUGACAUCCACGGAAGUUUUCAGAGAUGAGAAUGUGCCUUCGGGAACCGUGAGACAGGUGCUGCAUGGCUGUCGUCAGCUCGUGUUGUGAAAUGUUGGGUUAAGUCCCGCAACGAGCGCAACCCUUAUCCUUUGUUGCCAGCGGUCCGGCCGGGAACUCAAAGGAGACUGCCAGUGAUAAACUGGAGGAAGGUGGGGACGACGUCAAGUCAUCAUGGCCCUUACGACCAGGGCUACACACGUGCUACAAUGGCGCAUACAAAGAGAAGCGACCUCGCGAGAGCAAGCGGACCUCAUAAAGUGCGUCGUAGUCCGGAUUGGAGUCUGCAACUCGACUCCAUGAAGUCGGAAUCGCUAGUAAUCGUGGAUCAGAAUGCCACGGUGAAUACGUUCCCGGGCCUUGUACACACCGCCCGUCACACCAUGGGAGUGGGUUGCAAAAGAAGUAGGUAGCUUAACCUUCGGGAGGGCGCUUACCACUUUGUGAUUCAUGACUGGGGUGAAGUCGUAACAAGGUAACCGUAGGGGAACCUGCGGUUGGAUCACCUCCUUA
rnacentral:rRNA from 1 species